GCACGGCUGCAUACCUCCGAGUAAUUUCCGUCUGAGUAGUCGUCCCGACCCGAGUCCGGCGUGGGCUUCGCACGUGCUUCGACCUCACUCAAUUGUUCUGUUAAUGGGCAUAUUCCGUCCAGGGGGAGGAGGUGAAAAUAGAGUAUCAAAGUCACAAAUCAUUGCGGCUUGCCUAGUGUCUAAUAUGAUACCCUGUGGGCUAUCACAAGUCGCCUCAAUGACCCGAUGAUAAGAACCGUUCAGGCUAACUGUAGCACUUCAUUAUGGCGACGGUAGAUGGGCGUCCAGCCCAAUAUGGAAUCUCCCUCAAACAGCUACGCGAGCUCAUGGAGCAUCGCGGGCGAGAGGGAGUAUCGAAAAUUCAGGAGUUAGGAGGUGUGCAAGAAAUUUGUAAAAAAUUAUAUACAUCUCCUAGUGAAGGGCUCAGUGGAUCUCAAACCGACAUGGCACAUAGACGAGAGACAUUCGGCUCAAACACUAUCCCCCCUAAACCUCCAAAGACUUUCCUUCAAUUAAUUUGGGAAGCUCUUCAAGAUGUUACGCUUAUAAUUCUUCAAAUAGCUGCAAUCGUAUCAUUAGGGUUAUCUUUUUAUAAACCGGCGGAUGAACAAGACGCAGCAGUUCCUGAUGAUGAGGAGGGUAUACAUGGAUGGAUUGAAGGUCUGGCAAUUCUGAUAUCAGUAAUUGUAGUUGUCAUUGUAACGGCAUUCAAUGAUUAUACGAAAGAAAGACAAUUUAGAGGCCUGCAAGGUAGAAUCGAAGGAGAACAUAAAUUUUCAGUCAUUCGGAAAGGAGAAGUUGAACAAAUAUCAGUUGGAGACAUCGUAGUAGGUGAUAUAUGCCAGAUCAAGUAUGGUGAUCUUUUACCUGCUGAUGGAAUAUUAAUACAGAGUAAUGACCUUAAAAUAGAUGAAUCAUCAUUAACUGGUGAAUCAGAUCAUGUGAAAAAAGGGGAAUCGUUUGAUCCAAUGGUGCUAUCAGGAACACACGUUAUGGAAGGUAGCGGGAAAAUGGUUGUCGCCGCUGUGGGUGUAAAUUCACAGGCUGGAAUAAUUUUUACAUUGUUGGGAGCUGCUGUCGACGAACAAGAACAAGAAAUAAAGAAGAAACGAAAAGAAGCAAAAAAGAACCGCAAGAAGAAGAGUUUAUCAGGUGAUGAGGAAGCUCCAGUAACAGGAAAUAGUCACAUGGGGGCUGUCGGUACCGUAAGAACACAUGAGGUACCACAAAAUGCCGGUGAUGCCGCUCCGAAAAAAGAACGCGAAGAAGAUCAUUCGAAAAAAGAAAAAUCAGUAUUGCAAGCCAAAUUAACAAAACUUGCCAUUCAAAUCGGUUAUGCAGGUUCUACCAUUGCUGUCCUUACGGUUGUUAUACUUGUUAUCCAGUUCUGUGUGAAAACAUUUGUAAUAGAAAAUAAACCAUGGAAGAACGUUUAUGCCAAUGAAUUUGUGCGUCAUUUUAUUAUUGGUGUGACUGUAUUAGUCGUUGCCGUACCAGAGGGCCUGCCAUUGGCUGUUACACUAUCAUUAGCGUAUUCUGUCAAAAAAAUGAUGAAAGAUAACAAUCUUGUAAGGCAUUUGGAUGCAUGUGAAACGAUGGGAAACGCCACUGCCAUUUGUUCUGAUAAAACGGGUACUUUGACCACCAACAGGAUGACUGUUGUUCAAUCGUAUAUCUGUGAAGUUUUGAGCAAAACAAUACCCAAAUUUUCAUCCAUACCCACAAAUGUUGGAAACCUGCUGAUCCAAGCAAUUUCCAUCAAUUCUGCCUAUACAUCUCGCAUAAUGCAACCAGAAGAACCCUCUGAGCUUCCCAAACAAGUAGGUAAUAAGACUGAAUGUUCCCUAUUGGGAUUUGUACAAGCAUUAGGAAAAAACUAUCAAACUAUCCGAGACGACAUGCCUGAGGAAAUGUUCACAAGGGUGUAUACCUUCAAUUCUGUGAGAAAAUCAAUGUCUACUGUGAUACCACGACAAGGAGGAGGCUAUCGACUAUUUACAAAAGGCGCAUCAGAAAUUGUGCUUAAAAAGUGUGCAUUUAUAUACGGUAGAGAUGGCCAUUUAGAAAAGUUUACUCGGGAAAUGCAAGAAAGGCUAGUACGCAAUGUAAUCGAACCUAUGGCAUGUGACGGACUGAGGACAAUAUCAAUAGCAUAUCGCGACUUUGUUCCCGGCAAAGCGGAAAUAAAUCAGGUCCACUACGAUUCAGAGCCGAAUUGGGACGAUGAGGAAUACACUGUCAACAACCUGACCGCGAUCUGUGUCGUCGGUAUUGAAGAUCCUGUCCGACCUGAGGUACCAGAUGCUAUUAAGAAAUGUCAGCGAGCGGGAAUAACUGUCCGUAUGGUUACUGGUGAUAACAUAAAUACAGCCAGAUCUAUAGCGACAAAAUGUGGAAUUUUGAAACCAGGGGAAGAUUAUCUUAUUCUAGAAGGCAAAGAAUUCAAUAGAAGAAUACGUGACUCAAAUGGAGAAGUUCAACAGCAUUUGCUCGAUAAGGUGUGGCCGAGAUUAAGAGUAUUGGCAAGGUCAUCUCCAACGGACAAAUAUACUUUAGUUAAAGGAAUAAUAGACAGUAAAUCAACUGAGAGUAGGGAAGUUGUUGCUGUAACUGGUGACGGAACAAAUGAUGGGCCUGCACUGAAGAAGGCUGAUGUCGGGUUUGCAAUGGGAAUUGCUGGGACUGAUGUUGCCAAAGAGGCUUCAGAUAUUAUUUUAACAGAUGAUAACUUCAGCAGCAUUGUAAAAGCCGUGAUGUGGGGAAGGAACGUUUACGAUAGUAUCGCCAAGUUCCUACAAUUCCAGCUGACCGUUAACAUUGUAGCUGUAAUAGUAGCAUUUAUCGGAGCGUGCGCAGUUCAAGACAGUCCACUGAAGGCUGUUCAAAUGCUGUGGGUCAACCUUAUCAUGGACACUCUUGCGUCUUUAGCAUUGGCGACGGAAAUGCCGACUCCUGAUUUGCUCCUUCGAAAACCUUACGGCCGUACAAAACCCCUUAUUUCGAGAACUAUGAUGAAAAACAUUCUUGGCCAAGCUAUUUAUCAAUUAACAGUUGUAUUUUCUCUUCUGUUUAUUGGUGAUACGCUGCUGGAUAUACCUUCUGGGCGUGGUGCCGAACUCGGAUCUGGACCAACAGAGCAUUUCACUAUUAUUUUUAAUACAUUUGUAAUGAUGACUUUAUUUAACGAAAUUAAUGCUCGCAAAAUCCAUGGCCAAAGAAAUGUAUUCGAAGGGUUUUUCACUAAUCCAAUAUUCUACUCAAUAUGGGUUGGCACACUUUUAGCUCAGGCUUUCAUAGUACAAUUUGGUGGAGCUGCAUUUUCCACCCAUGCUUUAACACUGGAACAAUGGUGUUGGUGCCUUUUCUUCGGUUUUGGAACUUUACUGUGGAGUCAAAUCGUUACAACAGUUCCAACAAGGAAAAUUCCAAAAAUAUUUUCAUGGGGCAGAGGACACCCUGAUGAAUAUGCAGAAACAAUGCAUUUAGGUGAGGAAAAAUUUGAUCCAGAUAGUGACAAGAAACCUAGAGCCGGACAAAUUUUGUGGAUAAGGGGACUAACUAGGUUGCAAACUCAGAAUUUUGUGGCGGAUACGUGGCCUUCUGCGCAUCACCUUGUUACCUUAAAUGAAAGCAAAGUGGCCCCAUCGUAAGCACUGCAUGAGACCACUAUCACUAUUCUGUCGCGCUAACGUCCGCUUUUAUUUUGAAAAAUGUAAAUAGUAAACUAUUAGCAGACGGUUCAAAUGAAAGAUGAAAUUUAAAAAAAAUUU
rnacentral:misc_RNA from 1 species